AGCGCCUAAAGCUUAAAUUUUAAAAAAUAAAUUAAAAACUCCAAAAAAAAAAACGAAGGGAAAUAACUGACACACAAGCGUAAAGCCCUAGGAGCAGCUUUCUCACAAUCUCACCGCCUUUAUCAAGCUCGUUGUCUUCUCCCCCGCUCCUCCCCGCCUUCUCCUUCCUCAUCCCGUUCUCUCACGCCGUGGAAUCAUCAGGCACCGGCGCUCAUUACCACCGACACAGGAGGUGAUUUCUAGCUUUGAAUCGUGAUUCGCAAAGUGGCCCCGUACUUAGGUAUUCAAGAAUCUUUAUAAACAGGUUUGUAGAGAUAACUUGCGGCUGAAGUUAUCAUGAGAAUUGUGUGAGAGAUUAUGUUUUCUCUUCCCUACUUUAUAAACUCUACAAUUAAUUUCCAUGUCAUGACUAUAAACUUUAUGUAAAAGUUAGUUAAUGGAUUUCUAAACUAUUUAAUGUUUGGUUUUGGGCCUUAAUGGUUCCAAGUUGUUUAAUGACCAUUAACUUUUUAUUUAUUACUUUUGAAAGUUAGUUAAA